UUCGAGCUAAGAAAGGUCCUAAUUUUUGAAUUAAUCAUCGCAAGUUCACUAUGGCCAAAGCCGUUCUGGUUGGGGUAGCUUGUUGCCUAUCAAUAAUUCGCUGCUACAUAAAACACAAGCGUAUGUUUUGUUUGAUCUCUUGGAAUGAAAUCAAAAACACAAUCCCCUUCAUAAGCUUGGAAUGAAAUCAAAAACAAGAAAACAGAAUACACUUGCUCCGUCACAAGAACAUUCAUGUUUGUUGCUUUGGCUCUAUAAAAGUACUGUGUAUGUUGGUCCUCUAUGCAUUUCUAAGGAUAAGAUAUAUGUACACCAACAUUUUUGGAGUGUUGAAAAAAGGAAGAUAUUUCUUUUUUAAUUGACUUUACUUUCAUUGGUUAAUUUCAAGUUGUAAUUUGAAUUUAAACUCGUAAAAUAAAAAUUGGUUAUUUAUUUA